rnacentral:rRNA from 1 species
UACAGAGGUCUCAAGCGUUGUUCGGAUUCAUUGGGCGUAAAGGGUGCGUAGGUGGCGCUGUAAGUCGGGUGUGAAAUCUCGGGGCUCAACCCCCGAAACUGCACUUGAUACUGCGGUGCUUGAGGACUGGAGAGGAGAUCGGAAUUCAUGGUGUAGCAGUGAAAUGCGUAGAUAUCAUGAGGAAGACCAGUGGCGAAGGCGGAUCUCUGGACAGUUCCUGACACUGAGGCACGAAGGCCAGGGGAGCAAACGGG